rnacentral:pre_miRNA from 1 species
UUAAAGAAUUUGAAGACUUCAACUUGUAAACUUAAAGAAUUUGAGGACUUCAACUUGUAAACUUAAAGAAUUUGAGGACUUCAACU